GCCCUGCGCUGCCGGUUCACCGCUCGUCGGUGUCCAACUGGCAUGCGUGCGGGGCGUCCUGCCGGUGGGCGCGAGCCGACUGCGGCGGCAGGCGUUCUCGGUCCCGGCUCCGGCGGUGAGCAAUCGCUGUCGGGCCGGGUUCUCGGGGGCGUUGAUGCCCCGUGGAAGGCGGACCCCGAUCUCACCCGCCGCGGUGCUCUUAACUGAGUGUCGUGCGGGCCGGCACGUUUACUUUGAACAAAUUAACGUGCUUAACGCAGGCCUUUGUCUGCCCGAAUACUCUUGCAUGGAAUAAUGGAAUAGGACCUCGGUUCUAUUUUGUUGGUUUUCGGAAGUCGAGGUAAUGAUUAAUGGGGAUUGCCGGGGGCAUCCGUAUUGCGACGUUAGAGGUGAAAUUCUUGGAUCGUCGCAAGACGAACUGGAGCGAAAGCGUUUGCCAAGUAUGUUUUCUUUAAUCAAGAACGAAAGUUAGAGGUUCGAAGGCGAUCAGAUACCGCCCUAGUUCUAACCAUAAACUAUGCCAACUAGCGAUCCGCUGUGUGUCUUAGAUGUCACGGCGGGCAGCCUCCGGGAAACCAAAGUCUUUGGGUUCCGGGGGAAGUAUGGUUGCAAAGCUGAAACUUAAAGGAAUUGACGGAAGGGCACCACCAGACGUGGAGCCUGCGGCUUAAUUUGACCCAACGCGGGGAACCUCAUCAGGCCAGGACACCGGAAGGAUUGACAGAUUGAGAGCUCUUUCUUGAUUCGGUGGGUGGUGGUGCAUGGCCGUUCUUAGUUCGUGGAGUGAUUUGUCUGCUUAAUUGCGAUAACGAACGAGAUCCUACCCUACUAACUAGUCGAAACCGGCAUCCCCUGUGCAGCCGGCGACCAACACUCUUCUUAGAGGGACAGGCGGCUUCCAGCCGCAGGAAGUGGGGCAAUAACAGGUCUGUAAUGCCCUUAGAUGUUCUGGGCAGCACGCGCGCUACACUGAAGGUAUCAACGUGUGUUUUCCUUGCUCGAGAGGGCCGGGUAACCCGUUGAAACUCCUUCGUGCUAGGGAUUGGGGCUUGCAAUUAUUCCCCACCAACGAGGAAUGCCUAGUAAGCGGGAAUCAUUACUUCCCGCUGAUUAAGUCCCUGCCCUUUGUACACACCGCCCGUCGCUACUACCGAUUGAAUAUUUUAGUGAGGUCUUCGGACCAGCCCGCGGACCCUUCUCAGGGGCCGUAGAGCCGGAAAGAUGACCGAACUUGAAUAUUUAGAGGAAGUAAAAGUCGUAACAAGGUUUCCGUAGGUGAACCUUCGGAAG
rnacentral:rRNA from 1 species